GUGUGACGUAUAAUCUAGUGGACGGGACGCUCCUUCAACAACAACAGCUAGUCAGACACCUCGGUAGCUUUCUAGCAAACAUAGCUACAACAUUCACCCUCUUUACACUCUUUUGGUGUAUAUUAGUCGCUGUGUAUUAAACACACUUCUGUUGUCUGUACUUGUUGGCCCAUUUAAUUAUAUAUUUACGUUAUUUGUCAGCUAAUUGGUUGCUAAGUUAGCUUAGAACUAAGCUAGUCGCUAAUGCUAGCUAGCGAACAUCCCCGAUCAUGAGUUCACUAAGCUACUCUCCUCCUGCUACAGAAGAGGAGGUCUGCUGGACGGAGAAAGAAGCUUUCGUGAAAGAGGAGGACGAAGAGGAGGCUGUUACAAUACAAAAACAAGUAGAGAGUGAGGCUGUUACGGUGAAAGAAGAAGAGAAAGACGUUACAGUGAAAGGAGAGGAAGACGCGUUCAGAGUGAAAGAAGAGGAGGAUGUUACAGUAAAAGAAGAGGAAGAUGCAGUUUUUGGAGUGAAAGAGGAGGAGGAGAUGACUGUCACAUUGGAGGAAGAAGAGGAGGUUGGAGAUCUGUUUAACACCAGUUUUCUGUCCUCAGAUAAAGAGCUCUAUGAAAGCCAGUCUACAUAUGAAGAGGUCCCAAUGAAGAGCAGUGGUUCUCAGUCCUGGGGACUCAGAGGCACAUUGUUGUUUUUGUCUCAGCACUGCACAGCUGAUUCAAAUGAUCAACUCAUCAUCAAGCUUCAAGUGAUACCUUGUAACUGGAGAUUCCUUCAAAACGAUUGCCUACAGUUACCGUGUAGGACACUGCAAGGUUGGGUGACCAGGGUCAUCUGGGACUGCCUCCUGGAGGAAUUCAGAUGUGUGAAGGCUACCUGUGUCCUGCGUAACUUCAUGAGGAUGGACACGCGGACCAGGAGGGGAUCUGCAGCUCGCCGCCGUGUCCCAGAGGAGGAGUCUGCUGCUCUGCAGGAUGUUUCAAGGAUGGGGUCCAAAAACGCAGCAAGAGAGGCAAUCCGUGUGCAGGAGAUCUUCACCUCCUACUUCUUCAAAGAGGGUGCUGUUCCCUGGCAACACCAUAGACUACACUAUGCACUUUUAAGAGCCAUUCACAUUGCAAUACGUGUAUUAUUCCAUUUACUUAGCUAUGUCAAUUGCAGUUAUUCAAUUCACAGUUUCUCUCCCUUUGAUUUCUACUUCUUAGGUGAGGGUGCUGUUUAGGUAAGGGUUUGAUAUCUGUGCAAAAACAAAACAGGCUAUUUUGAAUCACCCAUAUUGAAGAAAUGUAGAACAAUUAGACACCCUAUAACCCACACCUACACACUCAUGUAUCAAUCUGAUUGAUGGAUUGUGUUGUGCAGUAAGCAGGCUCAGGUGUAUAACUGUGGCUCCUUCCACCUUCAAAGAAUAGGCAAGAGGGCCAACCAUAGAGAAUAGUAAGACACUUCAUUAUUUCUAUAACUAUGCUAUAAUUGUUUGUCCUCUUGUGUCCGUUCAUGUUUUUCAGCAUAAAGUACUCUGCAGCCACUUAGUGUGGUGUGGACACCAGGUUAUAUCAGCUGUGUCGGUGAACCCCUCCUGCAUCUGAACUGGCUACAUAGAGGGCACAGCAUGAUCAGAGGUGAGA